AUUGAACGCUGGCGGCAGGCCUAACACAUGCAAGUCGAACGAGUGGCGGACGGGUGAGUAAUGUCUGGGAAACUGACUGAUGGAGGGGGAUAACUACUGGAAACGGUAGCUAAUACCGCAUACCAUCAGAUGUGCCCAGAUGGGAUUAGCUUGUUGGUGGGGUAACGGCUCACCAAGGCGACGAUCCCUAGCUGGUCUGAGAGGAUGACCCGGCAAACUGGAACGUAGACCAGGUCCAGAACCCUACGGGAGGCAGCAGUGGGGAAUAGUGCACAAUGGGGGCAAGCCUGAUGCAGCCAUGCCGCGUGUAUGAAGAAGGCCUUCGGGUUGUAAAGUACUUUCAGCGGGGAGGCGUUACCCGCAGAAGGAGCACCGGCUAACUCCGUGCCAGGAGGCGCGGUAAUAC
rnacentral:rRNA from 1 species